rnacentral:rRNA from 1 species
AUGUCCACACCAAAAGAAACUCGGAAUUCCAUUCUGCAGCUGAAUCAAACAGAGAAUGGAGAAACUGAAGCUCAGCUACAUGAAGCCCUCGAGACAAUAACACAGAAAGGAGCUGGAGUCAAAAACAUGAGAAAGAAGCUGGAUACUCUCGAGAUUGAGUUGGGAUAUUAUGAGGAGCAGGCAACCGAAGCUGCUGCCAAUGAAGAAAAACAUAAGGUUAAAUUUGAUGAAGUUGUACACAAACUAAAGAGCCUAGAAGCACAACUUGCAGAAACACAAAACAAGGUUGAUCUUUUCCAGAACAGAGAAAGAAAACUUGAUUACUGCUAA